rnacentral:rRNA from 1 species
UAACCUGCCCAAGAGACUGGGAUAACACCUGGAAACAGAUGCUAAUACCUGAUAACAACACUAGACGCAUGUCUAGAGUUUAAAAGAUGGUUCUGCUAUCACUCUUGGAUGGACCUGCGGUGCAUUAGCUAGUUGGUAAGGUAACGGCUUACCAAGGCAAUGAUGCAUAGCCGAGUUGAGAGACUGAUCGGCCACAUUGGGACUGAGACACGGCCCAAACUCCUACGGGAGGCAGCAGGA